rnacentral:rRNA from 1 species
UGCGUAGGCGGAAUAUUAAGUCAGUGGUGAAAUCCUGCGGCUCAACCGUAGAACUGCCAUUGAUACUGAUAUUCUUGAAUGUAGUUGAGGUAGGCGGAAUGUGUAAUGUAGCGGUGAAAUGCUUAGAUAUUACACAGAACACCGAUUGCGAAGGCAGCUUACUAAACUACGAUUGACGCUGAGGCACGAAAGCGUGGGGAGCGAACAGGAUUAGAUACCCUGGUAGUCC